rnacentral:rRNA from 1 species
UAGGGAAUCUUCCGCAAUGGACGAAAGUCUGACGGAGCAACGCCGCGUGAGUGAUGAAGGCUUUCGGGUCGUAAAACUCUGUUGUUAGGGAAGAACAAGUACGAGAGUAACUGCUCGUACCUUGACGGUACCUAACCAGAAAGCCACGGCUAACUACGUGCCAGCAGCCGCGGUAAUACGUAGGUGGCAAGCGUUAUCCGGAAUUAUUGGGCGUAAAGCGCGCGCAGGCGGUUUCUUAAGUCUGAUGUGAAAGCCCACGGCUCAACCGUGGAGGGUCAUUGGAAACUGGGGAACUUGAGUGCAGAAGAGAAAAGCGGAAUUCCACGUGUAGCGGUGAAAUGCGUAGAGAUGUGGAGGAACACCAGUGGCGAAGGCGGCUUUUUGGUCUGUAACUGACGCUGAGGCGCGAAAGCGUGGGGAGCAAACAGGAUUAGAUACCCUGGUAGUCCACGCCGUAAACAAUGAGUGCUAAGUGUUAGAGGGUUUCCGCCCUUUAGUGCUGCAGCUAACG